CAUGAUGCUAAUGUCUUGAUGCUCUCGAUAUUGUGUAUUUCUUGCAUUUUUCCAGGAUAUAUCGUUUUUUAAAUUUCAAGGAUUUUCUCACAGAUUAUCCUGGAUUUUUUACCAAUUUCUAUUAAACUUCUUUUUAUGCAUUUAUUUAGAAAUUUUGCAUUUAAUUGUUUAUUUCUGUAUCUGUGCAUUAUAUACAUUCUGUGGUGAGCAAAAAAAUGAGUUUAGUCUUAUGUAGAACUGAAUGAAUAUUUCAGAUAGAAUGUGAUGCCAAGAUGGCGUACACAUUUCAGCCUCUGGAGGCCGCGUUAGAUUCUCUUGGUGUAAAUUAUACUGAUGGUGUUACAGUAAGAAUAUCAGAAAAGUACACGGUAAACUGUGAUCUAGUCGGGGUUGAAUCUCUUCUCCAUGAAACUGAUCCUAAGGUUCAGAGUCUCCAUGCAGAGUAUGAUACUGGGUUCGAGAAACAGGUUCUCCGGGACCUUCACAAAUACAGAGAGGAGAAGGAAAAGAAAGAUGAAGAGAGAAAACAAAGAAUCAUAAAAUACGAAACUAGGCGAGCUGAAGAGAAGGAACAGAAAAGAAAGGAAGAAGAGGAAAAGGCUCUAGAAGAUGAACGUAAACAUUUAGAAGAGAUUGAACGGGAGAAAGAAGCAUGUUUAGCGGAGGAGAAGAGGAGAAAGGAGAAGGAAGAGGAGGAGGAGAAGCAAAAGAAGAAGGAAGAAGAGGAGAAGUUACGACAUGAGGAGGAAGUUGAAUGGAAAAGGUUUGAAGAGGAGCGUGCACGUAGUGAGAGCAUCUCCAGAAAACAGACCAUUCUUAACGGAGUUGAACCUAGCCUUACAUCGGAGCCCAGUGAUCAUCAGCACCAUCAGUCGACUAUACCCGAACCUGAACCUUCCAGUGAUAUUAACUUUAGUCUAGCCAAACCUAAAUCUAUCCAAACUAAACAUGAACCUCCAGAAAACCAGGAUAAACCUGAACCUACCUUCAGCCAACCCAAGCCUAAUCAACCUGUGAUAAUAAAACCAAACAAACCGGUCGCCAUUAAUUUUUCAGAUUUCGAGGCGGAGGCAGAUGUGUUUGCGGAUAUGGAGCUUAGAACUAUAAAUGAUUUUGCGGAGUUACAAACAAUUCUUGGAGCCGGUGGAAAUAUUGGAGUCAGUGGGCAUCAUGGAGCCAAUCAUGGAGCUAAUUCUGCUGUUCAAGUUGUGAAUGGAUUUUAUGGAAACUCUCCUGUGAUAGGAUCAGGUCCUUCCUACCCAAACCAAACCCGACAACCUACCCUUUACCAAGGUAACGACACAUUUUCUCAACAAAGUUCGCAGGGAUAUCCUACAAACCCUUUCUCCAACAUGUCUUCCUUUCCUCAAAGGAACGGUUUAUCAAAUGGAACCGGAGCUGAGGGAACAAGAGGAGCAUUGUUCCAGUCUCCAACCUCACAAUUAUCCUUCCAGGGAACACCAAUCUCCCAACAGGCUUUUCCUAGACCUCCAACUUCCCAACCAUCCUUUCCUGGGUCCCAAAUCUCCCAUCAGACAUUUUCUGGACCACUUACUUCCCAACAGUCAUUUUCCGGAGUCCAGGUUUCCCAACAGUCCUUUUCCGGGGUUCAACCGUCUUUCUCCGGGCCCCAAUAUACCUGGGCGGGUUCCCAAGGAACUCAAUAUCCUAACAUGUAUCCGUAUCCUGGAUGUACUGGAUAUCAACCCAGUGAUAAGUUCUUCCCAGCUGUAUUCCCACCUGGAGUAAACAAUCCUGGGGAACAUACUCCUAGGCAGAGUAAACCUCAACAUCCAGGUUUGGAUAAGGCAAGGUCUGAUGGUUCCCAGCAUCCAUCUAGAUCAAAAUCUUCAGAUAGAUCGGUCACGAGGCUUAAUGGCGAGGGCCCUAAAGAUGAUGAUAAGAAGGUGGGGACAGGAGAAUUAAAACCUAGCCGCAGUGUUGGUGAUCUUAUAUCCGAGCUGCAGAAGGAAGCUGUUCUUAUUGCAGAGCAUAAACGAAAACUAGUUCAAACUCCACCACCAAGGCCUGUUUCCCGCGGCCAGAGCGGUCUGGAAGAUUGGGUUCCCUGGCCUAAAAUAGGUGUAGAAGACCCUCUGGAUGGUCUGGGAGAGAAGGAGAAGGAGAUGUGCUCCCAGAUUGGUGAGAUGGGGUUUCCAAUCUCCAGGCUUGCUACUGCAGCCAGAUGUUUUGGGGCUGAUAGUCAGAAACUUCUCAACUUCUGUAUACUGGUGGAUAGGCUGGUUGAGGAUGGUUGGAGUGAGGAAGUAAGCCUCGAGGUUACUCAAUUACAUGCCGCAGAUGAAAAUCUUACCAGGAAACAUCUGGGUGAAUAUAAGAAGCUUUUAGAACUGGGGUUUAUUAGACAAGAUAUACAUCGCGCACUCAUUGAUACAGGGAUAGAUCACCAGAAGGCGUUAGAGCAACUCAUCAAAUAAAUUUAAAAAUAUUAUUAUAUAUAAAAAUUAUUUAACCUGUUUAAAUAUUGUAUACGACAUGGCGCUUUGGUUUUUUUUGUGAGAUCAUAUUUCAGUUAGUCAUGCCAAUAUAUUCAUAUCAAUACUAUGUAAUGGAGUGUUUGUACUUUCUUUAACAUUUAACACUGUUUACUAUUGAAAAAGGGGGGGGGGGGGGGCUGUAAAAUAAAGGACAAGGAUAAAUAUUUUUUACACUUCUAAAACAUUUCAAGAAAUUUGUUUGCUAUUUUAUGAAUGGAAUGAAUUCACCUAUUUUCAUAGCAGGGGUGUGUCAAGUUUUCGAACUCUUUCAUGAAUUAAAGCAUUUUAUAAAUAUCACGAACUAUUUAUUACGGGGCACGAUUACCUUUCUCAUGUACACAUUUAAUUGUACACUCAUGUAAAUUGUAAACUUGUAAUUUUAGUACACGCUGUAAUUUUGUACCAAAGUCAAACGAACACUUAAGUGUUAAAUUUCAGA
rnacentral:misc_RNA from 1 species